CAGACGAGGAGCUUGCUCCUCUGACGUUAGCGGCGGACGGGUGAGUAACACGUGGAUAACCUACCUAUAAGACUGGGAUAACUUCGGGAAACCGGAGCUAAUACCGGAUAAUAUAUUGAACCGCAUGGUUCAAUAGUGAAAGACGGUUUUGCUGUCACUUAUAGAUGGAUCCGCGCCGCAUUAGCUAGUUGGUAAGGUAACGGCUUACCAAGGCAACGAUGCGUAGCCGACCUGAGAGGGUGAUCGGCCACACUGGAACUGAGACACGGUCCAGACUCCUACGGGAGGCAGCAGUAGGGAAUCUUCCGCAAUGGGCGAAAGCCUGACGGAGCAACGCCGCGUGAGUGAUGAAGGUCUUCGGAUCGUAAAACUCUGUUAUUAGGGAA
rnacentral:rRNA from 1 species